AGCCGCGGUGUGAGGGAGCGGGAGUCUUCCUUAGCUUCUCCGCCAUGGGUGUCGCUUCGUAGCCGGGCUGCUCCGGGAAAGGCCUCGUACAAAAAACCUAUAGCUGGAGCAGUCAACAGAGGCAAGGUCACCUUGUGGCAGCUGCAGCUGCAAACAUGGGAAGGAAGCAGGGGGCAGGGGAGGGCAGGAGAUCAUAUUUUGGAAGAGGGUGCUGGGCAGACCAUCCAAUAAGGGCUAAUGGCAGCCCUUCUCUAAGAAUGAGAAAUGUCAUUCUGACCAGCAGUUGACAGUUAAGGGUCAUCCAAAUGAGCUACAUGCUUAUCCUAAAAGGAUUGGCUAGAGACAAAAGAGGAAGUGGGUUACACACUUAUCCAAAAAGGAUUGGUUAGAGACAAAAGAGGAAGAAGAAAUAAAAGGGACUGGCUCAUUUCUUCUGAACUUCCUGUCUGUAACUUUGUCAGGCAGAGCCUGAAGUGCUCUGUGGUUCCUGGGCUAUUGCCCGGCAUUAGCAGGACUGGAGUUUGGCUGCAGAGGGAGGCGAGAGUACAAAAGAUACUCGGGAAGCUGAUUGAAAGCCAUUAAAUUGUUUUUAGAGCCAGGAAAGGAGACAUUAAAAUGUCUUAGGAGCUGUAGCCUGAGAUGAAUACCAUAAGAGCAUGUUGGAUUUAAUCAGUGACAUACAAAUAGGCUAAAGGAAGUUUUUGUUGUUGUUUUAGGCUUUUUUUUGAGACAGGGUCUUGUCCUGUCACUCAGGCUGAAGUGCAGUGGCGCAAUCAUGGCUCACUGCAGCCUUGACCUCCCAGGUUGAAGUGAUCCUCCCAACCUCAGCCUCUGAGUAGCUGGGACUACAGGUGUGCACCUCGUCUGCCUGAUCUUUUUGAAUUUUUGUAGAGAGGGGUCUCGCUAUGUUGUCCAGGCUGGUCUCAAACUUCUGGGCUCAAGCAACCCGCCUGCCUUGGCCUCCCAAAAUGCUGGGAUUAUAGGCAUGAGCCACUCCAUCUGGCCUCAAGAUGUUAAAUGCAGUCUAGGUGGGAUUCAGACUUCCCCCUACCCCAAGUGGAUGAAAAAGUGGGUGCAGGCUGUGAGAGUUAAACUGACACUUUGAGGUGCUGCCAUUGUAAAUCAGAGAGUUAAGAAAAACAAAUAGCUACAUACUGUGAUGAACCAGAAAUAACCAGGUCAUCCUGUGCAGUUCAGUUCCCCCAAAUAAAAGAAACUUGAGCAUUCCCAUACUUUACUGAUUCCCUAAGGAAAAACGGCAUUAUCUCUUAUGACUGCAGUGCUUACCUAUGUCAGGGGAUAUGAUGUGACAUUUGUGGGUUUGAUAAUCAAGUGACAACAUUUCUAAUUUCACACAGUGAGCAGCCUAUCAUAAACUUGGUAACCUUGGCAAAUUUGUAGUUAUUUCCCUUUGGUUUUUUUCCAUCUUUCAAUGGAUUCGUUUUCUUUUUAAGUAGAGACAGGGUCUGGCUGUGUCACCCAGAAUGCUGCAGUGCAGUGGCACGACCAUAGCUCACUGCAGCCUUGAACUCCUGGGUUCAACUGAUCCUUCCACCUUAGCCUACCAAGUAGCUAGGACUACAGGUGUGUGCCACCAUGUCUGGCUAAGUUUUGUUUGAUUUGUUUGCAGACAUGGAGGCCUGCUGUGUUGCCCAGGCUGGUUUCAAACACCUGACCUCAGGUGAUCCUCCUGCCUCAGCCUCCCAAAGUGCUGGGAUCAGAGACUUGAGCCACUGUGGCCAGCCGGAAUGUAAAUUCCACUGAAUUUUUUUGUGUGAUUAGCCUUCUUGCCGAAGCCUUGACACUCUUGCAAGCCUUUGCGAGUACAUUUCUUCUAUUUCAGAAGACUCCUUGCUCUCCAAGACUUUUUUCUACAAGGUGUAACCAGAAGCCAGGAGGCCUGUUGCAAAACCAAUCCCAUUUGAAAGCAGAGAAUGUGAACUCACCUAUUGUCAUAAUGAUUAUAAAAGAGGCUUUGGCUCACUCCUGUAAUCCCAGCACUUUGCAAGGCCAAGGCAGGCAGAUCACCUGAGGUCAGGAGUUCAAGACCAGCCUGGCCUACAUGGCGAAACCCCAUCUCCACUAAAAAUACAAAAAUUAGCCAGGCAUGGUGGUGCACGCCUGUAAUCCCAGCCACUCUACUCAGGAGGCUGAGGCAGGAGAAUUGCUUGAACCUGGGAGGUGGAGGCUGCAGUGAGCCAAGACGGCACCACUGCACUCCAGCCAGGCGACCGAGCAAGACUCUGUCUGAAAAAAAAAAAAAAAUUAUGAAAGAGGGUGGGUGCGGUGGCUCAUGUCUGGAAUCCCAGCGUUUUGAGAGGCAAAGGAGCGAGGAUCACUUUAGUUCAGGAGUGCUAGACCAACCUGGGAAACAUAGUGAGACCCUGUCUCUACCAAAAAUUAAAUUAUUUGGGCAUGAUGGCACAUGCCUGUAGUCCCAGCUACUUAGGAGGCUGAGGUGGGAGGAUCACUUGAGGUUUUAGUCAUGGAAGUCUCUUGCCCUGGAGGUCGAGGCUGCAGUAACCCAUGAUCGUGCCACUGCACUCUAGCCUGGGCAACAAAGCAAGACACUGUCUCAAAUUAAAAAAAAAAAAAAAGGCUUAGGGAGUUACUGAAGAAUCACCCUGGGCUGUAGUUCACAGGGAGUGUGCAUAGGUUAAGGAGAAGACAUCUGCAUGAGUUUCAGUAAAGAGAUACAGUUGCGGUGGCUGGGCAACCUCGUAAACAUUCUGGGAAGGAAUGCAGAAUGCAAAACCCAGCUGAAAAAUCUAGAAGAAAUCAUGUCCCAGUUAAAGAAGAUAUUCCUCCUGAGUCCUUCAAGCUCUGCUACUUGAAUGAGAUGCAAAGAAAGCUUGCAGAGCUAAGGAAAUAGAGGAUAAAGCAUCACCCUUACAGAAUCAAAAAACUGGAAACAGCAAGGAACAGCUAGAAAAUGGCUCCAUAGUUCUGAAACCACUUGCUACACCAGUGGUUCUAAGUGCAGUCCCAGCACCAGCAGUGUCAGCACCACCUGAGAACUUGUUAGAAAUGAAGUGAAUUGGUGUGGGGAGUGGAACCGGCAAUCUGGCUUAAUCAGCCCUCCAGGUGGUCCCGAUGCCCACUAAAAUUUGAGACUAUGUUCUUCUCCCUCUCAGGCUGAAGAGUUGGGCAUAGCAAUGUUGUUCAGCUCCAGAUUCCAGAACUAGACACGUUUCUCCCAGGGAGAUUCUUAUGAACAUUCCUUUUCAAGAACAGAAAGAGGCCAGGCGUGGUGGCUCAUGCCUGUAAUCCCAGCACUUUGGGAGGCUGAGGCGGGUGGAUCACCUGAGGUCAGGAGUUCGAGACCAGCCUGACCAACAUAGAGAAACCCCAUCUCUACUAAAAAUACAAAAUUAGCCAGGUGUGGUGGCACAUGCCUGUAAUCCCAGCUGCUCAGGAGGCUGAGGCAGGAGAAUCAUUCAAACCUGGGAGGCGGAGGUUGCGGUGAGCCAAGAUCAUGCCAUUGCACUCCAGCCUGGGCAACAAGAGCGAAACUCCAUCUCAAAAAAAAAAAAAAGAGAGAGAGAGAGAGAAAAGAAAGAGAAAAAAAGGCCGGGUGCAGUGGCUCAUGCCUGAAAUCCCAGAACUUUGGGAGGCCAAGUUGGGCAGAUCACCUGAGGUCAGGAGUUCGAGACCAGCCUGGCCAACAUGGUGAAAUACCGUCUCUACUAAAAUUACAAAAAUUAGCCAGGCAUGAUGGCAGAUGCCUGGUAAUCCCAGCUACUCAGGAGGCUGAGGCAGGAGAACAGCUUGAACCCAGGUGGCAGAGGUUGCAGUGAGCUGAGAUCAUGCCACUGCACUCCAGCCUGGGCAACAAGAGCGAGACUCCGUCUCAAAAAAAAAAAGAACAGAAAUAAUCAAACCACAGCAUCAAUUCAUUCAUUCAUUCCACCAACAUUUAUUAAGCAGCAAGCUCCGAAGCAGACGUUUACCAGUUUUGCACAACUUUGUCAUGGACCAACUGGCCUUGUGGCUCAGUGGCAUCUGGAGGCAAGAGGGCCAAGUAGACAGGGGUCUCAGCCCCCUCCUCCACAGUCCUGAUGCUGUCUUUCCCAUCCAUGUCUGUCUUCACUGGUCCUGGGCAGCACGCAUUCACCAGAAUCCUGUCAGCUUUCCUCUUCUCAUCCAGACGCCUGGCCAGGAUCCUCGAUAAGACCGUGACCCCCAACUUGGACACCCCAUAAGCUUUGUUCUCAGAAACUUGGCGGCUACAAGGAAUUAAAUGUGAAUGGGAAAGGAAGAAAGAAAAACACAGAUCAUAGAAGCUGUGCCUUCGAGGAAAUAAAUCCUCUUAAGGGGAGGAGGUGUCCUCUUUGAUCUGAGGGCACACCUCUGGGAGAGAGGCCAGAGGCUGACAGUCAGCCUCGUCAGCCAGAUGCGUCAUCAGCCCUGGGAAGGGCUGCACCCACACCACCCUCCACUGAGGUCCAGGUGGCCCCACCGGUCCCGAAACACCUGCUGCCUUACUCUAGAAAGAGUAGGCAAGUUGCGCCCUCUAGUGGCUUAGUAGUUGCUUGUCCUAUUGACUCAGAACCUUGAACAAAUAAGCAAGUCAAAUACAGAUAGAUGGUCCCUGCCCUCUGAUGGUUCCACUUAGGACUUACUGACUUCACUGAUGGAUGAGGAAGCGAUAUGCAUUCUGCAGAAUCUGUACUUGGAGGCCCCAUACAACCAUUCUGCAUUUCACUUUCAGUACAGAUUCAAUAAAUUACAUAAGAUACUCAACAUUUUAUGAGGUUCCCAGAUGAUGUGACAGCUACUGGUCUCCAGCCACACCUUGAGAACACUUGGCUUUGACUACCACUUCUUAAACUUAAAGGUGCGUAGGAGGGAGCUGGGGAUUCUGUUGAAAUGCAGAUUUUUUUUUUUUUUUUUUUUUUUUUUUGAGGCAGAGUCUCGCUCUGUCGCCCAGGCUGCAGUGCAGGGGUGCAAUCUCCUCUUCCUGCAACCUCUGCCUCCUGGGUUCAAGCGGUUCUUGUGCCUGAGCCUCCCGAGUAGCUGGGAUUACAGGAGUGAGCCACCAUGCCCAGCUAAUUUUUGUAUUUUUAGUAGAGUUGGGGUCUUCUCUGUCGCCCAGGCUGGAGUGCAGUGCUGCAGUCGUGGCUCACUGUAGCGUCAGUCUCCUGAGCUCAGGAAAACUAGACAAUCCACCAGCCCAGGAGGGGACAAGCAGGCUUAUUCCUCCUCCUCGUCAUCUCUGGCUCCAGCCCCACCCUGGCCCUUGCUGGCAUUCUUCCUCUUCACGUGGCUGGGGUUGGCCACCCCAAUAGGGAAGCAGAGGGAGAAGUCAAUGUGCUUCUGGGAAUCCAGGCGGACAGUGAAGAACAGGAUAUUUACCACCUGCUCACGGACACGGAUAUGACACUGUUGAAUCAGCACAUGAGCGUGGCGGAUGGACUUAGCCAAGCCAAGCUUGAAGACCUGGGUCUGUAGGAAUCUCUAAGAAAUCAUUGAUCUUCAGGCCCAGGAUGUAAUCCAGCUUCAUCUUGCCCUCAUCCAGCACCCCAGUGCGGACCAGCCACUGCAGCAGGGCAAUGCCUUCGAACAGACGCCGUGGGUCCUUCUCAUCAAGCGUCAGCAGCUCCCGGGCGGCCUUAUGGAUCUUGACCAGGGUAAAUUUGACCCUCCAGACCUCACAUUUGUUCUGGAGCCCAUACUCACCAAUCAGCUUUAGCUUUUGGUCGAGAUGAGGUUUCUCGAAGGGUCUCUGCAGGGUCACAUAAGUUUGGCAACAAACCCAGCUCUGGGCCGCUGGCAUGUUGGCUCCACUUGCCCGUCUAUGCCUAAGCACAGGCCCUGGUCACUGAGAAAGAGCUCAAAUUUUUUAUAUAUUUCAUCUAAGGUGUUGAUUCUAUUGAUACCCUUAUCCUUUUAACAUGCCCUUAUCCUUUUAAUGUUGGUAAUGAUGCUACCUGUCAUUUCUGAGACUGGUUUGUGUCUUUCGUGUUUUUUUCUGAUCUGUCUGGCUAGAGGUUUACCAAUUGAUUUGAUUUUCCUCAAACUUCUGGUUACAAUGAUUCUCUCUCUCUCUCUUUUCCUGAUUAUAUUAAUUUCUGUUCUGAUCUUUGUUUCCUUUCUUCUGCUUACUGGAUUUUAUUUGCUCUUUUUCUGGUUUCUUACUGUAAAGGCAGAAGUCAUUGAUUUGCAUUGAUUUGAGACUUCUUUUCUAAUGUAGGCAGUAAGUGGUGUAAAUUCCCUUUUAGUAUGACUUUAGUGGCAUCUCACAUUGAUAUGUUUUCAAUUUCAUUCAGUUUAUUUUUAUUUAUUUUUUAAAUUAUUUAUUUAUUUAUUUAUUUUGAGUUGUGUAGCCCUUUAUUAGCAACUAAAAUAGAAGGUAUCUGUUGUACAACAUGGGUAGUAAUUGACUAUAACUGGAGAUUUAUUAUAUUCUAAUACAGAUCAUUUAUAAAUGCAAUUUCUUUAUUAAAAAGCUUCCACCU
rnacentral:lncRNA from 10 species